UACGUAGGCAGCAAGCGUUGUUCGGAGUUACUGGGCGUAAAGGGUGCGUAGGCGGCUCUUUAAGUCUGGUGUGAAAUCUCCCGGCUUAACUGGGAGGGUGCGCUAUAGACUGUGGGGCUAGAGUGUGGGAGAGGAAAGUGGAAUUCCUGGUGUAGCGGUGAAAUGCGUAGAUAUCAGGAGGAACACCGGUGGUGUAAACGGCUUUCUGGACCAUAACUGACGCUGAGGCACGAAAGCGUGGGUAGCAAACAGG
rnacentral:rRNA from 1 species